AUUCUACUAGGACGUUGGUGACUGCCAAUAUCGUUUUUUGAUCUAUGUCCGUUUUGAAAAGGGAACUUAGUAGUCUCAUGGCAGUAGACCGGGCAUGUACCCGGAAACUUCAAAUGAGAUUCAAUGGUACCCACCUGGUGAAACCAGGUCAUAAACUGAGGUAAGACGGCGUUUCGGGGAAUGU
rnacentral:other from 1 species